UACAGAGGUCUCAAGCGUUGUUCGGAUUCAUUGGGCGUAAAGGGUGCGUAGGUGGCUGGGUAAGUCGGAUGUGAAAUCCCGGGGCUCAACCUCGGAACUGCAUUCGAUACUGCUUUGCUUGAGUACUGGAGAGGAGAUUGGAAUUUACGGUGUAGCAGUGAAAUGCGUAGAUAUCGUAAGGAAGACCAGUGGCGAAGGCGGAUCUCUGGACAGUUACUGACACUGAGGCACGAAGGCCAGGGGAGCAAACGGG
rnacentral:rRNA from 1 species